UUUGGUUGAAAGAUAUCAUACAACAUAAUGAACACCAGAAUUUUUGUCUGGGGUGUGGUCUGUAGCAGCAUGUCCUAGUGAUGUUUUUUUACCGAGUCAGUCUUCAAAAGAAACUGAAAUAUCAUCCUGCUUCUGUAAUGAGGCUCCAGGUGGGGAGCAGUGCCUCAUAACAUUUAGCUUUUUUGAAGCCUCAUCUCUCUUGAACACCACGCUGUUUUUACGAUGGGGAACCAGCAACUGUAGAGUCCUGUCAGCAUCAUGGUACACUGUUCAUACUGCACUUAAAUGUAUGGGAAUUCGAGAGGAGGAAAUCAUUAAAAAAAAAGGGUCCUUAAUUUCUCGGUACACCAACAAUCAAUCUUUCAUGUGUAUUGCCCUUAACUCUCCAGUAAGAUUCAAUUCAAGGCUGGUGUAUUUACACCCGUUAUGUGAGACCGUAGCCACUGAGAGUAUUGAGAGGUCAAAUAGUAAUUUCAGAGUGAAGCAGUCAGAAAAUGGAGAGAGAUAUUGGGUUGCAGAUAUGGCCUGGUCCAGGGAUAAUUCAUAUGUCGUUGGUUGCCUUAAUACAGGUGCCAUUUUCAUUG